CCCACCCGAAGCCUUCUUCUUCUUCCUCCUUCUUCUUCCUUUCCUUUCCUUUCCUUCUUCCUCUCGGGCCCUCGCCGUUUCUUCGUUUUCGGCCACCAAACGGCCACACGCGUUGGCCACCGAUGAAGCCCAAUUCCCGGCGACCCCGACCUCCAAGUUUCCCGGCCAGACGUUGCCGGACCCGCCCAAAUCGGGCCGGUGAAGUCGGCAGCGGCGGGUUGAAUUUUUCCGGCGAUUCUCACCGUUUCCGGCCAACCCAGUCUGGUCUUCCACCACUUUCCCCCUAUUUUAGGUCAUCUGAGUUCAAAUAUGGCCUCCAAUUGUUUAAAUUCGAAGUGGUUCGAAAGUUAUGAGGAGAUGAAAUUCGGCCGGUACUUCCGGGGCAAAUUCCGGCCACCACCAGUGGAAUUGGGGUUAAUGGAGGUCGGUGAUGCGAUCCUCGUUCCAUAAGCUUCGUUUCGGAGCACGUGUGCGUUAUGGAAUCGAUCCUAUGGUGGAUCGUGGUUUAAUUGCGUGCUUAAGGUUCAAGGAUUGGGAGACGUUGAUCGUCCGGGAAGAGCCCGACGUCUCAGUUCAUUGCCGAAAGUCCAAGAAGCAUUUCUUCCCUUUUUGUUCCUCUCCAUCUUGUAUUGCUUCCUUAUCUGACAUUGUAUUAAUUCCACAUUUAUUUUUAUAAUGCUCUGUAUACUGUAUUGGACAUGUAGUUAUUAUUUAUGCACUGAUUUACUGUUA